UCGGAAUGCUUUAACGGAUCCUCAACGUGUUCAGACUCCUUCCAUUGCAGAAUACUGGAAGCCAUUCGCUGAAGAUAUGGAUCCUGCUGCUGGGAUAGAAGCUGAAUAUCACCAUAAAAACAACAGGGUGUAUUGCUGGAAAGGUCUACGGUUUUCAGCUAGACAGGACUUGGAGGGAUUUUCUAAGGUACGACUAGUUUAACAAUUGAUCACCGACACAUCAUCAUGUCCAAUUAAUUUCCCACAAGCCUGAGAAAAUCAAAUGACAGGGCUAAACGUGCUAAAAAGGAAGAAGCAAAGGGUUCUGCACAGCAAGGGGAAGAAAAUCAGAUCUCAACUCCUGCGAGUGAAAAUGAUGAAGGAAUCAGAGGUGAUCUCGAGACCUCGACAACCCCAAUGGAUGCUGAACCUGAAACCGAUGGUGUGACUGACAUGGUGUACCAAGGUGGCAGUCCAAUGCCGGA